rnacentral:rRNA from 1 species
GAUGAACGCUGGCGGCGUGCCUAAUACAUGCAAGUCGAGCGAACAGACGAGGAGCUUGCUCCUCUGACGUUAGCGGCGGACGGGUGAGUAACACGUGGAUAACCUACCUAUAAGACUGGGAUAACUUCGGGAAACCGGAGCUAAUACCGGAUAAUAUAUUGAACCGCAUGGUUCAAUAGUGAAAGACGGUUUUGCUGUCACUUAUAGAUGGAUCCGCGCCGCAUUAGCUAGUUGGUAAGGUAACGGCUUACCAAGGCAACGAUGCGUAGCCGACCUGAGAGGGUGAUCGGCCACACUGGAACUGAGACACGGUCCAGACUCCUACGGGAGGCAGCAGUAGGGAAUCGUCCGCAAUGGGCGAAAGCUUGACGUAGCAACGCCGCGUGAGUGAUGAAGGUCUUCGGAUCGUAAAACUCUGUUAUUAGGGAAGAACAAAUGUGUAAGUAACUAUGCACGUCUUGACGGUACCUAAUCAGAAAGCCACGGCUAACUACGUG